UCUCUCAAGCAUCAAAUCCAUUAGUGGCAGAAUUUGUUUACUCUGCUCGCCGAUUUAACUACGCUGAGCAACCACCGUGUUUGAUUAAAGCUUUGUACGUAUUUAACCAUUUUGAUAGUCCGAUCAUAUUUUUUUUUUGUCAAAACCAAUGAACCUAGCAUCGAUUCUUAGGAAUGAAUCAGUUCAAGGAUGUUAUCAACGUUUACUUUAUACGAAGGGGCUUUCCAUUGAUCCAAGCAACGUAGCGUACACAAUCAUGUUUGGCAGACCCUUAAGGUUUUGUGUCUGACACGCCAUCAUGGAUCCAUUUGGAUGUGUUGGAGAAACUAAUAACGGACUAUUCAGCGACAUGUUUUUUUUUGUGAAGCCACUUGAUUUCCUAAACAUUUGGAUUUAGGCGGGUGAAGCAGCGGUGGAUCAGGAGGAUAAGAUGGUUGUGCCUCCAAGGAAGGAGCAUGAGGUAGAGAAGAAACAAGAACCGAAGCAUGAACCUGAGCCGGACUUUGGAGAAUAAAGAGAGGAAGAUAAAAGCUUUGAAGGAAAAAGAUGGAGAAUUCGGCAUACAAUGACUUCAAAACACUAUAAAGAAUUACUCAAAGCCAUGGAAAUUAUUGAUGAAUAUAUAUCUUUAUCACAAAUCAUCCUGCUGUAAUCUGGAGAUGGCAAAGUAUGAUGAGUGCAUCAAGGAUUGUGAUAAGGCUGUUGAAAAAGUCUAUGGGGAAGAUGGAAAAAAAGUCUCAAAAGACUGUGAACUUGUGAUUGAGUCUUACAUAAAGCCCUUACGGAGCACCGCAACCUAAACACGUUGAAGAUGCUGAAUGAGGCUGAGAACGUCAAGAAAGAGUUGGCGCAGGAAGAAUAAUUUGAUUGGUGAGGUGGAGCAUGAGAAAGCUAUUUUGGUAAAAAGAGUUAUACUAACACCCU